CGACGGGAAAAGUGGGGGACCGUAAGGCCUCACGUUAUACGAGCAGCCGAUGUCUGAUUAGCUAGUUGGUGGGGUAAAGGCUCACCAAGGCAACGAUCAGUAGCGGGUCUGAGAGGAUGAUCCGCCACACUGGGACUGAGACACGGCCCAGACUCCUACGGGAGGCAGCAGUGGGGAAUUUUGGACAAUGGGCGCAAGCCUGAUCCAGCCAUGCCGCGUGUCUGAAGAAGGCCUUCGGGUUGUAAAGGACUUUUGUCCGGGAGCAAAUCCCAGUGGUUAAUACCUACUGGGGCUGAGAGUACCGGAAGAAUAAGCACCGGCUAACUACGUGCCAGCAGCCGCGGUAAUACGUAGGGUGCAAGCGUUAAUCGGAAUUACUGGGCGUAAAGCGUGCGCAGGCGGUUGUGCAAGUCUGAUGUGAAAGCCCCGGGCUUAACCUGGGAACGGCAUUGGAGACUGCACGACUAGAGUGCGUCAGAGGGGGGUAGAAUUCCGCGUGUAGCAGUGAAAUGCGUANAGAUGCGGAGGAAUACCGAUGGC
rnacentral:rRNA from 1 species